rnacentral:rRNA from 1 species
GACGAACGCUGGCGGCGUGCUUAACACAUGCAAGUCGAACGGAAAGGCCCUCCUCUUGCGGGGUGCCCGAGUGGCGAACGGGUGAGUAACACGUGAGUAACCUGCCUCUGACUUUGGGAUAACUUCAGGAAAUUGGGGCUAAUACUGGAUAGGAGCUCCUGUCCCAGGGUGGGGGGUGGAAAGUUUUGGUGGUUGGGGAUGGACCUGCGGCUCAUCAGCCUGUUGGUGGAGUAGUGGCUUACCAAGGCCUUGACGGGUAGCCAGCCUAGGAAGAUGAACAGCCUCAGUGGGACUGAGAUACGGCCCAGACUCCUACGGGACGCAGCGGUGGGAAAUUUUACACAAUGGGCGGAAGCCUGAUGCAGCAACGCCGCGUGCGGAAUGGCGACCUUCGGAUUGAAAACCGCUUUCGCCUGUAGCAAAGCGUGAGUGACGAUAAUAAAUAAAGAAGCACCGACUAACUACGUG